GGCGAACGGGUGCGUAAUACGUGAGAAUCUGCCCUUAGGAGAAGAAUAACUGCUGGAAACGGCUGCUAAAUCUUCAUAUGCCGAGAGGUGAAAUAGUUUAGGCUGCCUAAGGAUGAGCUCACGCCUGAUUAGCUAGUUGGUAAGGUAACGGCUUACCAAGGCCACGAUCAGUAGCUGGUUUGAGAGAACGAUCAGCCACACUGGGACUGAGACACGGCCCAGACUCCUCCGGGAGGCAGCAGUGAGGAAUUUUCCGCAAUGGGCGAAAGCCUGACGGAGCAAUACCGCGUGAGGGAUGAAGGAUUUUGGUCUGUAAACCUCUUUUCUCAAGAAAGAAGUUCUGACGGUACUUGAGGAAUAAGCAUCGGCUAACUCCGUGCCAGCAGCCGCGGUAAUACGGGGGAUGCAAGCGUUAUCCGGAAUCAUUGGGCGUAAAGCGCCUGUAGGUUGUUUACAAAGUCUGUUGUUAAAGACUAGGGCUCAACCCUAGAAAAGCAAUGGAAACUUGUAGACUAGAGUAUGGCAGGGGUAGAGGGAAUUUCUAGUGUAGCGGUGAAAUGCGUAGAUAUUAGAAAGAACACCAGUGGCGAAAGCGCUCUACUGGACCAUUACUGACACUCAGAGGCGAAAGCUAGGAUAGCAAAAGGGAUUAGAUACCCCUGUAGUCCUAGCCGUAAACGAUGGAUACUAGAUGUUGUGCAUAGUACAGUAUCGUAGCUAACGCGUUAAGUAUCCCGCCUGGGGAGUACGCUCGCAAGGGUGAAACUCAAAGGAAUUGACGGGGGCCCGCACAAGCGGUGGAGCAUGUGGUUUAAUUCGAUGCAACGCGAAGAACCUUACCAGGGCUUGACAUACUACAAAUUCUUUUGAGAAAGAGAAGUGCCUUCGGGAAUGUAGAUACAGGUGGUGCAUGGCUGUCGUCAGCUCGUGUCGUGAGAUGUUGGGUUAAGUCCCGCAACGAGCGCAACCCUUAUUUUUAGUUACCAAUUCGUUGGGUUUUUUAGAAAGACUGCCGGUGACAAACCGGAGGAAGGUGAGGAUGACGUCAAGUCAGCAUGCCCCUUAUGUCCUGGGCUACACACGUGCUACAAUGGUUAAGACAAAGAGUCGCAAGCUCGUGAGAGUAAGCUAAUCUACUAAACUUAGCCUAAGUUCAGAUUGUAGGCUGCAACUCGCCUGCAUGAAGUUGGAAUCGCUAGUAAUCGCUGGUCAGCCAUACAGCGGUGAAUCCGUUCCCGGGCCUUGUACACACCGCCCGUCACACCAUGGGAGCUGGUCAUACCCGAA
rnacentral:rRNA from 1 species